rnacentral:lncRNA from 1 species
UGGGAUGCUCCCACGCCCCCUGUGUGGCUCAGGGAUGAGGCACUUCUCUCUCAGCCACUCAACUGAUGGAAGGAAAAGGCGAUGGAAAGUCUAACUUUUCUGAAACAGGUUUCCAGCAGCUGCUGCUUGUCUUGCUCCUCCCGCAUGAACAGCUCCACCAUGAGCACCUUCUCCUUGUGGAUCUGCUGGCUGAUGUCCUUGGGGAUGUCCGGGAUGACCCAGUCCACAAAGUCGCUCAUGAACAUGACCAGGUUCUGGAAGGAGAGGCAACGCGUGGCAGAGGGGAGGAUGGCGCCUGGGGAAGUGCUC